ACAACUUUGUCGGCCUUUUGGCUCAGACGAAGUGUAGUAUUUGUUCUUUUUAGUUUAAUAUUUGAUACGUGGAUUAUUGGUUCGCAUGAUAUAAACUUUAAUUUUUUGAGGUGGAGAGUUCAUCGAGGUGCCUUGCCAUCUGGGCUCUCAAGCGUAGCCCAUGCGUUGAACUUUUGCAAGGGCCUGGAGUGUACCCCCA